rnacentral:tRNA from 1 species
GCCGGGAUGGCGGAAUGGUAGACGCGGUGGACUCAAAAUCCACUGAGCGCAAGCUCGUGGGGGUUCAAGUCCCCCUCCCGGUA